GACGAACGCUGGCGGCGUGCCUAAUACAUGCAAGUCGAGCGAAGUUUUUCUGGUUCUUGCACUAGAAAAACUUAGCGGCGCACGGGUGAGUAACACGUAAAGAACCUGCCUCAUAGACUGGGACAACUAUUGGAAACGAUAGCUAAUACCGGAUAACAGUAUUUCUCGCAUGAGAGAUAUUUAAAAGUUGGUUAUGCUAACACUAUGAGAUGGCUUUGCGGUGGAUUAGCUAGUUGGUGGGGUAAAGGCCCACCAAGGCGACGAUGCAUAGCCGACCUGAGAGGGUGAUCGGCCACACUGGAACUGAGACACGGCCCAGACUCCUACGGGAGGCAGCAGUAGGGAAUCUUCCGCAAUGGGCGAAAGCCUGACGGAGCAACGCCGCGUGAGUGAAGAAGGAUUUCGGUUCGUAAAGCUCUGUUGUUAGGGAAGAAUGGAUAUGUAGUAACUAUACAUGUAAGAGACGGUACCUAACCAGAAAGCCACGGCUAACUACGUG
rnacentral:rRNA from 1 species